GACGAACCGAGCGAACGUUGUUCGGAAUCACUGGGCUUAAAGGGCGCGUAGGCGGGCGGCCAAGUCAGGGGUGAAAGCCCCCAGCUCAACUGGGGAAGUGCCUUUGAUACUGGUCGUCUCGAGGGAGGUAGGGGCGUGCGGAACUUCCGGUGGAGCGGUGAAAUGCGUAGAUAUCGGAAGGAACACCAGUGGCGAAAGCGGCUUCCUGGUCCAGCACCGACGUUCAGGCACGAAAGCGUGGGGAGCAAACAGG
rnacentral:rRNA from 1 species